rnacentral:rRNA from 1 species
GGGAACCCGCACAAGCGGUGGAGUAUGUUGUUUAAUUCGAAGAUACACGAAGAACCUUACCAGGUCUUGACAUACCAUUGACAGGCACAGAGAUGUGCUCUCCUUUCGGGCAAUGGAUACAGGUGGUGCAUGGUUGUUGUCAGCUCGUGUCGCGAGAUGUUGGGUUAAGUCCCGCAACGAGCGCAACCCUUAUCUUUAGUUACCAUCAUUCAGUUGGGGACUCUAAAGACACUGCCCCGGUCAACGGGGAGGAAGGUGGGGAUGACGUCAAGUCCUCAUGGCCCUUAUGUCCAGGGCUACACACGUGCUACAAUGGGCAGUACAAAGGGUAGCAAGCCUGCGAAGGUGAGCCAAUCCCAAAAAGCUGUUCGUAGUUCGGAUUGGAGUCUGCAACUCGACUCCAUGAAGCUGGAAUCGCUAGUAAUCGCGGAUCAGCAUGCCGCGGUGAAUACGUUCCCGGGCCUU